CUGACGUUCCUCAGGUGCAAGAAAUUUGUUUCCACGAGUUUAGAAAUAUGAAGACGCUUUUGACGCUGCUCUUUGCGACUUCUCUAAUGACGUUGACCAUGGCGCUGCAACUCAGCAAUACAGCAGAGAAAGAAUUUCAAAAUAUAAUAGACAACAUGUGUAGUACAGAUGACCAAAAGGUUAAAGAGGCAAAUGACACAAUAGAAAGCAUUUUCGAAGUUCGACCUGGGGUAGGUGAGAAAUACAUG